UACGUAGGGUGCGAGCGUUGUCCGGAAUUAUUGGGCGUAAAGGAGCUCGUAGGCGGUUUGUCGCGUCGGGAGGUGAAAACACAGGGGCGUUAACCCCCGGUGCCCUGCUUCCGAUACGGGCAGACUAGAGGUAUGCAGGGGAGAACGGAAUUCCUGGUGUAGCGGUGAAAUGCGCAGAUAUCAGGAGGAACACCGGUGGCGAAGGCGGUUCUCUGGGCAUUACCUGACGCUGAGGAGCGAAAGUGUGGGGAGCGAACAGG
rnacentral:rRNA from 1 species